ACGGCUCAGUAACACGUGGAUAACCUGCCCUAUGGUGGAGAAUAACCCCGGGAAACUGGGGAUAAUACUCCAUAGAUUAGAGAUACUGGAAUGUUCUUUAAUCGAAAGUUGAGGCGCCAUAGGAUGGAUCUGCGGUCGAUUAGGUUGUUGUUGGGGUAACGGCCCAACAAGCCUGUAAUCGAUACGGGUUGUGGGAGCAAGAGCCCGGAGAUGGAAUCUGAGACACGAUUCCAGGCCCUACGGGGCGCAGCAGGCGCGAAAACUUUACAAUGCAGGAAACUGUGAUAAGGGAACCCCGAGUGCCCGUAUACGCGGGCUGUCCAGGUGUCUAAAAAGCAUCUGAAGAAAGGGCCGGGCAAGACCGGUGCCAGCCGCCGCGGUAAUACCGGCGGCUCGAGUGGUGGCCACUAUUAUUGGGCUUAAAGCGUCCGUAGCUGGACUCUUAAGUCUCUUGGGAAAUCCGCCGGCUUAACCGACGGGCGUCUAAGAGAUACUGAGAGUCUAGGGACCGGGAGAGGUGAGAGGUACUCCGGGGGUAGGAGUGAAAUCCUGUAAUCCCUGGGGGACCACCGAUGGCGAAGGCAUCUCACCAGAACGGCUCCGACAGUGAGGGACGAAAGCUGGGGGAGCGAACCGGAUUAGAUACCCCGGUAGUCCCAGCCGUAAACAAUGUGCGUUAGGUGUGUCGGUAACCACGUGUUACUGAUGCGCCGAAGAGAAAUCGUGAAACGCACCACCUGGGAAGUACGGUCGCAAGGCUGAAACUUAAAGGAAUUGGCGGGGGAGCAC
rnacentral:rRNA from 1 species